GCUCGGUACCUGAGGUAUAGUAUGCACCGGUUCUGCAUACCGUUCUUGUUUUUCUUUGCAAAUGCAUUUUUUUUUUUUUGGGGUUGAGCUCUGUACCUAAGGCGUACUGCAUUCAAACUAUCUGCAUGUACCAUCUUAUUAUUUUCCUUUAAUUGUGUUAUUGCAGGCUAUGUCAAGAUAUGUUCGCAGGGAAUGCAACUGUCUGUCAUUGACAGAUAAAGAAGCUAUGUUUUCUGGAAACUGCAUGUUCACUUCAUUGGGAAACACCACAGCUGAUAAAGUGUAAUGAGGAGAGAGAUCAAAACCACACGUGCUCAUCAACAGCACCAAAAUUCAUGGUAGAGAUCCAGGCCUUCUUAUCAAUGAUUAUUAUAAGAAGAAAUUACAGAUUGCUUAAUUAAGCAAGAGAUGUGACGUCCACUAUUCUCUAUCUUUAGUAAACUUAGUAUAAAUCUGAAGCAGCUGGUUUUUUUGUUCCCCAGUAUGAAACUUGGAUGAAAAUAUCCUACUGUCAGAUGCUAAUUGCUUUGAUUUUAAAUCAUAAAAGUAAUAUACGAGAGUUCAAGAUUUGGAUU